ACACGCAUUAUUUGGAACUGAAAAUUACGUAAUUUAUCGACCUGCUGACUUGUAUUUGUUAUAAAUCAUAAAAAAAUUAUGGAAAACAUCAUGAACAAUAAUGAAACAAACCGAACCUUUAGCUACAAUAAUAAAAUGACCCCAUGACGCCAGUGGAACUACGUGGUUUUCUUCCAUGAUGAUUUGAUGAUACCACAAUGGAUUUGAGCCAAGUUUUCACCGUAUUGGGUGCUAGAUGCCCCUUGGAGUUAAGCCCCAGUGCCACUAUACUACCUUACCAGUUAUGUGUGGGUGUUGUAGUCCUAAGACACCCCAGAGAUGCAUAGGGCCUUCACAAGCUCACGCCACGCCUUCCUAUCUUCAGUAACCCUCGUGACCUCGCUCCACCAGCUCAAACCUGCCAGUCGCAGCUCAUUUUUCGACGGACCGCUUCCAUGAGUAGACAAGGCACCGACGAUCACGGCUUGCAUCACCUGUACUGCUUCGUAAUAUAGCAUGCUGAACAAUACUGCCAUUAUACUAGGAUCAACGUCCUGCCCCUUCCCCGGCUGUGUACAAAUUGGAACUCCAUUUGCAUGCCCCUUUGACUGA